rnacentral:lncRNA from 1 species
GUCCCAAUAAGUUUACCUCAGUUGGUAGGGACAUCGCAUUAUAUGUGUAGGAGCCGGAGUUUGAACAUCAAAUAUUCUACUUAUUCACUUUUAAGAUGCAAUUUAUAGCCACUUUACUACUUGAAAAAAAAUUAUCUAAUUCUAUCAUUUCAAUAGAAUCAUAUAAUUUGUUGGUCUGUACUCGAUAGUUUAUAAAUAUCCACUUACAAACAAAGAUAAAACAUCACUUUUUCUAAUAUGAUAUAAAUCC